UAGUGGCGAACGGGUGAGUAACACGUGGGCAAUCUGCCCUGCACUCUGGGACAAGCCCUGGAAACGGGGUCUAAUACCGGAUAUGACUGUCCAUCGCAUGGUGGAUGGUGUAAAGCUCCGGCGGUGCAGGAUGAGCCCGCGGCCUAUCAGCUUGUUGGUGAGGUAGUGGCUCACCAAGGCGACGACGGGUAGCCGGCCUGAGAGGGCGACCGGCCACACUGGGACUGAGACACGGCCCAGACUCCUACGGGAGGCAGCAGUGGGGAAUAUUGCACAAUGGGCGAAAGCCUGAUGCAGCGACGCCGCGUGAGGGAUGACGGCCUUCGGGUUGUAAACCUCUUUCAGCAGGGAAGAAGCGAAAGUGACGGUACCUGCAGAAGAAGCGCCGGCUAACUACGUGCCAGCAGCCGCGGUAAUACGUAGGGCGCAAGCGUUGUCCGGAAUUAUUGGGCGUAAAGAGCUCGUAGGCGGCUUGUCACG
rnacentral:rRNA from 1 species